rnacentral:rRNA from 1 species
GAUGAACGCUGGCGGCGUGCCUAAUACAUGCAAGUCGAGCGAACGGACGAGAAGCUUGCUUCUCUGAUGUUAGCGGCGGACGGGUGAGUCACACGUGGAUCACCUACCUAUAUGACUGGUAUCACUUCGGGACACCGUAUCUAAUACCGGAUAAUCUUUUGCACCGCAUUGUUCAAUAGUGAACUUCGGUCUUUCUGUCACUUCUCGCUGCAUCCGCGCUGCAUUAGCUAGUUGGUACGUUCACGGCUUACCACGGCAACGAUGCAUAGCCGACCUGAGAGGGUGAUAGGCCACAUGGGAACGGAAACAGGGACAAGACGCCUAAGGGAGGCAGCAGAAGGGAAUGUGACGCAAUAGGCGAAAGCAUGACGGAGCAAGGCCGCGUGAGUGAUGAAGGUCUUCGGAGCGUAAAAAUCCGUUAUGAGGGAAGAACAGAUGUGGAAGGAAAUGUGCACAGAGUGACGGUACCUAAUCAGAAAGCAACGGCUAACUACGUG